rnacentral:misc_RNA from 1 species
GGCAGGACUUGUCAAUGUGAAUCUUAGCGCUGCCAAAUCCUGGGCAGUUUCUAAUGGACAGGGUCCGAAGAGAGCUACAAGGAGAGGACACUAGCAUUCCUGACGCUACAUCUUUAAUUCCCAUGCAUUUCACAAGGCUAAGAGCUUUCAACUUUGUCCGGCAGUUGGAGAUUGCACCAACAAUCCCUGAUUGGGUAACCCUAUUACACUCUUCCAAUUGCAGGCUCUCAAGAGAUCCUGCAGCUUUGACAAA